rnacentral:rRNA from 1 species
GACGAACGCUGGCGGCGUGCCUAAUACAUGCAAGUAGGACGCAGUUGCGAACGGGUGAGUAACGCGUCGGUAACUGCCUAUUAGAGGGGGCUAACUAUUGGAAACGAUAGCUAAUACCGCCUACUAGUAGAUGGACCUGCGUUGUAUUAGCUAGUAGGUAGGGUAAUGGCCUCCCUAGGCGACGGUACAUAGCCGAACUGGGAGGGGGAGCGGGCCAACUGGGACUGAGAAAAGGCCCAGACCCCUACGGGAGGGAGCAGUAGGGAAUCUUCGGCAAUGGGGGGAACCCUGACCGAGCAACGCCGCGGGGGUGAAGAAGGGUUUCGGGGCGUAAAGCUCUGUUGUGAAGGAAGCGGUACUUAACCAGAAAGGGACGGCUAACUACGUGCCAGCCGCCGCGGUAAUAC